rnacentral:rRNA from 1 species
CACGUAGUUGGCCGGUGCUUCUUUAGUAGGUACCGUCACUUGCGCUUCGUCCCUACCGAAAGAGGUUUACAACCCGAAGGCCGUCAUCCCUCACGCGGCGUUGCUGGAUCAGGCUUCCGCCCAUUGUCCAAUAUUCCCCACUGCUGCCUCCCGUAGGAGUCUGGGCCGUGUCUCAGUCCCAGUGUGACCGGUCACCCUCUCAGGCCGGCUACCCGUCGAAGCCAUGGUGAGCCAUUACCUCACCAUCAAGCUGAUAGGCCGCGAGCACAUCCCUGGCCGAAAAACUUUCCACAACCAUCCCAUGCGAGAAGUUGUCGUAUCCGGUAUUAAUCACCGUUUCGGUGGCUAUCCAAAGCCAAGGGCAGAUUACUCACGUGUUACUCACCCGUUCGCCGCUCGAGUACCACCGAAGUGGCCUUUCGCUCGACUUGCAUGUGUUAAGCACGCCGCAGCGUUCGUCUGAGCCAGGAUCAAACUCUA